AGGGCCGGGAGAGGCGGGGAGGUCGGGCUGGGACCGGGCUGACUGUGCUCAUCCACCCCGCCGGAUUUCGCCCUCGGCCUGCAUCAGUGCCCCUCUGCCGGAUUUGGGGCCGGCCAUUGGUGUGGUGCCUCCGUCGCGAGGCUGGACUCUGGAGCAGGACCGUGUUAAAACUCCUACCGAUACCACACAGCCUUACAUAUGCUGGGCUUCAGGUGCUUCCUUGAGCAGCAAGAGCAGCGUCUCGGAGCAGCCAGUUGCCCAUCGUCAGGAGUGAGCUGCUCCAGCAGCCGCUGCACAGCCCUGGGCCAAAGAGGUGGGAGAAGCCAGGAUGGGUGACAUGAGGGCUGGAAGGAAGGGGAGGAUGCUAUGCAGCUGAGCCUCAGCACUGAUACCUGAUGUGCUCCUCUGGAUGAGCAGGGGCUUCACGUUUUUCACAGAUGCGUUAGACUGCAAACUCCUGCCUGCAUGCUUAACCUACUUCUGCAGAACUGUUGGCAAGUAUGUGAUCUAAAGUGGAUGGGCAGGCAUGGACUUACAAGGGACACUGACAGGUGUCAGUACAAUAAGAUCUGCACCUGGGCAUGCUGGAUGGCAGGACACAUCAGUGCUUGCUGCUGGUGCUUUCUGAAUGGCCACAAGGAGCCCGUGGUAGCUGCGGUCCCACCAGACAGCAUGGGAGGGGACAGGGCAAGGAGGCAGCAGUAGGAGCAUUGACAGUGCUCAGAAGCUCUUGAAACAGAUGAGGAAUAUAUCAUGGCAAAAGUGAAUCCUUGGAGAGUGUUUCACAAGAGGUGCUGGUGUGCCAGACAUACUUCUUCACAAAUGUUUUUCAUAUUUUUUUCCACUAAAAGAAGCAGAAGAGCUCAAAAGGCAGCAGUAUUUUUUGCUAAGUGCCGGUAUUUUUUGCUAAGUGCCCAGCCACUGAUGGAAGUGCCACACUUCCCUGCAGCAGGUGAAUUAAUCUUUGUGCAGCCCUGUAUGUAAACACCAUGCAUUAAGCUUAUCAUGCUGGACUCUGUUCCUGAAUCCUGCACAGCCAGAUGAUGGCUUUCACCCUCAUCUCCAGCAGAGGUGCUGUUAAGAAGAGGAUGUUCUUCAGUGCCACGAUAACCAUCUGAUCAGCUCUGACCUGGGCGAGUUACAGGGAGGCUCACUGUUGAAGGCAAGAAAGACCUCACUGCAAAGCUGCAACCCAUCGCAGCUCUGCACUGUCGGGUAGACAGAAACCUUCUGGCCAAAGCGCAGCUGAAGGUGUGGGCCAGCUGGAGAUCAUCUAAAAAGGGAAAAAUCAGACUACUUGCAGAUGUGAAAUUCAUAAUCGGGGAGCAGAGACUGAAUCGCAGAGAAGAGGAAAGUCUAGAGAAAAGCAAGGUCUGGUAGUCCUCAGGUUUGCAAAAAAAAGCUGCUGCAAAGAGUUGGAAUAAGUUUCCUCAUCCACUGAGAUAAAGUAGCUUUGAAAGUUGUGCCAUUUGUGCAAGUUUUAGAUGAUUUAAUUGUGAGCUUGAUUUUUUUCGAAAAUACUUGUCUUCUCUUUUAGUGUUUUCCUGGAAUCAUCUCUUUAAACUAAUGAGACAUUAAAGCCAGACAUUAGGAAGCAUUUUCUAACGAUGACGCUGCCUGCAUCCUGUCACACAUCGCUACAGAGGCUGGCGAGUCAGCAAACGUCUGCCGGGGCUGCUCUGGGUAUCGCUGACCCCGCCGUGGCGUGGGGAGACCUCGGCGAGCCCCAGCAGCUCCUUUCCCCAUCGCUCUGGCAAGUCCGAAGAUUUACUUCCAGCCUGAAGGUAAUCACUCAGUCGUGAUUCUGACCUACAGCUUAAUGUGCCCCCUCGCUAUAGUUACAGCCGUCCUCCUUCUGGUUAUGCUCCCUGCUGUGACUAAUGGGAUCUCUGCAGUUAAAGAGGUGAUUUUUAAAGAAAAAGAUCCAAGUUGCAGUGCUGCUACCAAGUUUACAGCUUUAGCAAAAGCAAUGGCACAGUACUAACGAUAGCAGUCCUGACUACGGCCUAUGAAUUUGACAUUUGUAGGUGUACAUUUAUACACCUCUCUCCAGACCUACAGACCCCUAAAUGCACAGGAAGCAAAUGAUCUUUUGUUACUGUUUAUGCCAUGGACGGUGAGUACCAGUUUAGGUAUUCGCUAUUCACAGUGAAAUGUGCUUAAAGUAGACAUACUCCAUUCUUGUAAAAUAUUCUUAAUCAGCCAAAGUUUUUUUUUCUUUUUUUUUUUUCUUUUUUUCUUUUUUUCUUUUCUUUUUUAAACUGAGUUGUUUUGCACAAAUGCACACAAAAAUGGAAAGCAGCUUGCAAAGAAUUGUAAAAUACCACAGGAGAGCCUGAGAUACAAAGCCAGCUUUACAAACAUGAUUCUUCCAGUGCAGUUUUCUCAAAGACGUUUAAGGGUGCUAUGAGGGACCAUUUGUUGAAGAUGAAACCAUGAGGAUUUUGAAGGCAUUUUGCAAAGUACAUCUUACCUCAACCAUUAAUAAAUAUUCCUUUUGAAAACAUGGUAAUGAUUGAAGAGUUUUCCAAACAGAAGAACAUUUCUUUGGAUUAAGUGACAAUGCCACUUUAAAUAAAUCCAACUGAUUUUCUGUGUGUGUGUGUGUAUGGAUGCUAUAGGAAAAUAAAAAUUUGGGAAAAUUCUACCUUUGUUU